ACCUCCCACCCGUGUUUACUGUACCUUAGUUGCUUCGGCGGGCCCGCCAUUCGUGGCCGCCGGGGGCUCUCAGCCCCGGGCCCGCGCCCGCCGGAGACACCACGAACUCUGUCUGAUCUAGUGAAGUCUGAGUUGAUUGUAUCGCAAUCAGUUAAAACUUUCAACAAUGGAUCUCUUGGUUCCGGCAUCGAUGAAGAACGCAGCGAAAUGCGAUAACUAGUGUGAAUUGCAGAAUUCCGUGAAUCAUCGAGUCUUUGAACGCACAUUGCGCCCCCUGGUAUUCCGGGGGGCAUGCCUGUCCGAGCGUCAUUGCUGCCCAUCAAGCACGGCUUGUGUGUUGGGUCGUCGUCCCCUCUCCGGGGGGGACGGGCCCCAAAGGCAGCGGCGGCACCGCGUCCGAUCCUCGAGCGUAUGGGGCUUUGUCACCCGCUCUGUAGGCCCGGCCGGCGCUUGCCGAACGCAAAUCAAUCUUUUUCCAGGUUGACCUCGGAUCAGGUAGGGAUACCCGCUGAACUUAAGCAUAUCAAUA
rnacentral:rRNA from 1 species